AAUGAACGCUGGCGGCAGGCCUAACACAUGCAAGUCGAACGGAUCCUUCGGGAUUAGUGGCGGACGGGUGAGUAACGCGUGGGAACAUACCCUUUGGUACGGAAUAGCCUCGGGGAACUGGGAGUAAUACCGUAUGUGGUCGAGAGACGAAAGAUUUAUCGCCAAAGGAUUGGCCUGCGUUGGAUUAGGUAGUUGGUGGGGUAAUGGCCUACCAAGCCGACGAUCCAUAGCUGGUUUGAGAGGAUGAUCAGCCACACUGGGACUGAGACACGGCCCAGACUCCUACGGGAGGCAGCGGUGGGGAAUCUUAGACAAUGGGGGAAACCCUGAUCUAGCCAUGCCGCGUGAUCGAUGAAGGCCUUAGGGUUGUAAAGAUCUUUCAGGUGGGAAGAUAAUGACUGUACCACCAGAAGAAGCCCCGGCUAACUCCGUGCCAGCCGCCGCAGUAA
rnacentral:rRNA from 1 species